rnacentral:rRNA from 1 species
CUGGCUCAGGACGAACGCUGGCGGCGUGCCUAAUACAUGCAAGUCGAACGGUCUUUCUAUGGAAGCUUGCUUCCACUGAAAAGAUAGUGGCGAACGGGUGAGUAACACGUGGGUAACCUGCCCAUAAGAGGGGGAUAACAUCCGGAAACGGGUGCUAAUACCGCAUAGUUUUCUUGAUCGCAUGAUCGGGAAAGGAAAGACGGCCUUUGUGCUGUCGCUUAUGGAUGGACCCGCGGCGUAUUAGUUAGUUGGUGAGGUAACGGCUCACCAAGACGAUGAUACGUAGCCGACCUGAGAGGGUGAUCGGCCACAUUGGGACUGAGACACGGCCCAAACUCCUACGGGAGGCAGCAGUAGGGAAUCUUCCGCAAUGGACGCCAAGUCUGACCCAGCAACGCCGCGUGAAGGAAGAAGGCUCUCGGGUUGUAAACUUCUUUUAACAGGGAAGAGAAGAAGACGGUACCUGUUGAAUAAGCCACGGCUAACUACGUGCCAGCCGCCGC